UUUGUUCCCUAAAUAGGGACUUGUAUGAACGGCCACACGAGGGCUUUACUGUCUCUUACUUCCAAUCCGUGAAAUUGACCUUCCCGUGAAGAGGCGGGAAUAUAAUAAUAAGACGAGAAGACCCUAUGGAGCUUUAAUUAACCGACCCAAAGAGACCAUAUGAACCAACCGACAGGAACAACAAACCUCUAUAUGGGCCGGCAAUUUAGGUUGGGGUGACCUCGGAGAAUAAAACAACCUCCGAGUGAUUUAAAUCUAGACUAACCAGUCGAAAGUACUACAUCACUUAUUGAUCCAAAAACCUUGAUCAACGGAACAAGUUACCCUAGGGAUAACAGCGCAAUCCUAUUUCAGAGUCCAUAUCGACAAUAGGG
rnacentral:rRNA from 1 species